UUCCGGUUGAUCCUGCCGGACCUGACUGCUAUCGGAUUGAUACUAAGCCAUGCGAGUCAUUGUAGCAAUACAAGGCAGACGGCUCAGUAACGCGUAGUCAACCUAACCUAUGGACGGGAAUAACCUCGGGAAACUGAGAAUAAUGCCCGAUAGAACACUAUACCUGGAAUGGUUUGUGUUCCAAAUGAUUUAUCGCCGUAGGAUGGGACUGCGGCCUAUCAGUUUGUUGGUGAGGUAAUGGCCCACCAAGACUAUUACAGGUACGGGCUCUGAGAGGAGUAGCCCGGAGAUGGGUACUGAGACACGGACCCAGGCCCUAUGGGGCGCAGCAGGCGAGAAAACUUUGCAAUGUGCGAAAGCACGACAAGGUUAAUCCGAGUGGUUUCUGCUAAAGGAACCUUUUGUUAGUCCUAGAAACACUAACGAAUAAGGGGUGGGCAAGUUCUGGUGUCAGCCGCCGCGGUAAAACCAGCACCUCAAGUGGUCAGGAUGAUUAUUGGGCCUAAAGCAUCCGUAGCCGGCUCUGUAAGUUUUCGGUUAAAUCUGUACGCUCAACGUACAGGCUGCCGGGAAUACUGCAGAGCUAGGGAGUGGGAGAGGUAGACGGUACUCGGUAGGAAGGGGUAAAAUCCUUUGAUCUAUUGAUGACCACCUGUGGCGAAGGCGGUCUACCAGAACACGUCCGACGGUGAGGGAUGAAAGCUGGGGGAGCAAACCGGAUUAGAUACCCGGGUAGUCCCAGCUGUAAACUAUGCAAACUCAGUGAUGCAUUGGCUUGUGGCCAAUGCAGUGCUGCAGGGAAGCCGUUAAGUUUGCCGCCUGGGAAGUACGUACGCAAGUAUGAAACUUAAAGGAAUUGGCGGGGGAGCACCACAAGGGGUGAAGCCUGCGGUUCAAUUGGACUCAACGCCGGGA
rnacentral:rRNA from 1 species